GGUGUGUGUGGGUGGGGGUGGGGGUGUGUGUGGGAGGGAGGGAGGUGUGUGUGUGGGAGGAGUGUAUAUGGGUGAAGGUAUGUAAGUGUGUGUUUGUAGAUGUGUGGGUGAAGGUAUGCAUGUAAGUGUGUGUACAGGUGAAGUUGUGUAUGUAAGUUUGUGGGUGUGUGUGUGUGUGUAUGGGUGUGUGUGUGUAUGGGUGUGUGUGUGUAUGGGUGAAGGUGUGUGUAUGGGUGAAGGUGUGUGUAUGGGUGAAGGUGUGUGUAUGGGUGAAGGUGGGUGUGUGUGUGUGUGUGUGUAUGGGUGAGGGUGUGUGUGUGUAUGGGUGAAGGUGUGUGUGUGUGUGUGUGUGUGUGUGAAGGUGUGUAUGGGUGAAGGUGUGUGUGUGUGUGUAUGGGUGAAGGUGUGUGUGUGUGUGUGUAUGGGUGAAGGUGUGUGUGUGUGUAUGGGUGAAGGUGUGUGUGUGUGUGUGUGUGUGUGUAUGGGUGAAGGUGUGUGUGUGUGUGUGUGUAUGGGUGAAGGUGUGUGUGUGUGUGUGUGUGUAUGGGUGAAGGUGUGUGUGUGUGUGUGUGUGUGUAUGGGUGAAGGUGUGUGUGUGUGUGUGUGUGUGUGUGUAUGGGUGAAGGUGUGUGUGUGUGUGUGUAUGGGUGAAGGUGUGUGUGUGUGUGUGUGUGUGUGUGUGUGUGUAUGGGUGAAGGUGUGUGUAUGGGUGAAGGUGUGUGUGUGUGUGUGUGUGUAUGGGUGAAGGUGUGUGUGUAUGGGUGAAGGUGUGUGUGUGUGUGUGUGUGUGUGUGUGUGUGUAUGGGUGAAGGUGUGUGUGUGUGUGUGUGUGUGUGUGUGUGUGUGUGUGUGUGUGUAUGGGUGAAGGUGUGUGUGUGUAUGGGUGAAGGUGUGUGUGUGUGUAUGGGUGAAGGUGUGUGUAUGGGUGAAGGUGUGUGUGUGUGUAUGGGUGAAGGUGUGUGUGUAUGGGUGAAGGUGUGUGUGUGUGUAUGGGUGAAGGUGUGUGUGUGUGUAUGGGUGAAGGUGUGUGUGUGUGUAUGGGUGAAGGUGUGUGUGUGUGUGUGUAUGGGUGAAGGUGUGUGUGUAUGGGUGAA